GGAGAGGUGCUCGAGUGGUUGAAGAGACACGACUGGAAAUCGUGUGUACGCUAACCCCGUACCGAGGGUUCGAAUCCCUCCCUCUCCG
rnacentral:tRNA from 1 species